CCUGAUUGUGUGGGGCCUGCCUCUCGAGAUGGUGUCCUGGAAAAUCAGAUUUCUGAGUUUGCAUCUCUUGCAAACUAUGAAAAUGGAUCUAAAAAUGAUGAAACUAUAGUUGAUCACAGAGUCUCAUUCGAGUUGAGUGGUGAAGAGGUUGCACGUUGUCUUGAAAGCAAGUCAAUGCAAUCAUGUAGUACUUUCGUAGAAUGCUCACCGGAGGACCGCGUAAAAAGUGGGAAGAUGCUAAUGAAUAGUGAAAAUUGUUUACAUAUCAAGGAAACUUCCAAUGAAUUACCUGAGAAACCUUCAGGAGAAAUGGAAGAGGAACACUACCAUAGAAAACAUCGUUCUAUCACACUGGGGUCAAUCAAAGAGUUCAACUUUGAUAAUUCAAAAGAAGUACCUGAUAAGCCCACAAUCAGCUCUGAGUGGUGGGCAAAUGAAACAAUUGCUGGGAAGGAAGCUAGGCCUGUCAACAACUGGACUUUCUUCCCAUUGUUACAGCCAGAGGUCAGCUGAAAUUGAAAUAGAUUGCUUUACAAAAUUCCCUCCCCUCUAUGCAGGUUUGCUUUACUGAAUGUCUAACCUGUAAGAUGAAGGCAACUGUGUUUUGGCGAUACAGUUCACCGGGUCUGGGAUCACAUGAGGAUGCGGAAUAGAUUGCAUGGAUAUAAGGAAAUUAAUCUGCUGCGAUCCGAUCCACAAGUAUCCAGAAAGUAGUUUGUAGGGAGCAUUAGUUUGAGAACUAAUAGAGCAUUCUUUUUAAUUUUUUUGUUUCUAGUUGAACGAUAUACAAAAAUAGCAUUUGCAUAUAGUGUUGUGUU
rnacentral:misc_RNA from 1 species